UGCCUGCAGCCUUUGAAGCUUUGUCAGUAGAGGGCGCUGAAGAGACAUUACAGGAAGAAAAGGGAUUUUCUUGCUGGUUUUGGUGUACGUGUAGGCAGGCACUUACAGCUUACCUGGCUUUCUCCACUGCCAAGCUCCAAUAAUGCUUGGAGGUCAGAAGUUUCCCCCUUCAUCCCUAAGUCUAGUGCUUCUAUGGUGGAGGCGCUAAGGCAUCUUGUGUUUUCUUCUGGCAUCUAUGAAAGAGUGACAGGCCCCAGACCCACCACAGAUACUGAAACUACUUGCCUGCCUAAGAGAAUCAUGACAUUGUUGGAAUGAUCUUCACCACCCUAUGCUUUCCCUUCCAUGAAAGGAAGCUGAGAGACAGGAUGAGUCCAGUAAUGUAAUUAACUUCUGAGAAGGUAAGGGAAAGAGAGCUAAAGGAAGAGUGCUUUUUCUUCAUAAUGUUUCCUCACUAUUUGAAAUUAUUUAUUGACUUACUUUAUGUCUGUCCCUUCUAGUAGAAUGCAAGCUCCUGAAAGUUGGGGACCUUUUGAUUUAUCACUGUAUCUUAAUGAAUAAAGUCUUGUCUAGCAAUGUCAA